rnacentral:rRNA from 1 species
GAAUCGAAACGAGACAAUGAGCAAAAUGAUGAUUUAACCGGACUUCCCAGAGCCUUUACUGUUAUGGAGAUUUCAUCACAUGAACCAUCAGAAGCAGAAAUUUUAAUUGGACAUGAAGAUGACACAGAAUUGACACCAUGCGAAGGUAUGGAAUUUGAGUCUGAAGAUGCUGCAAGGGAUUUUUACAGCUUGUAUGCGAGACAUGCAGGUUUUCGAAUUCGGAUCAGCAGGUAUACCCGCUCCAGACGUGAUAAUUCAAUCAUUUCUCGUCGUAUUGUAUGCUCAAAGGAGGGAUUUCAUGAAACACGUAACUGUGAAGGCCUCCACCCUGACCAAAAACAGCAAGAACGGACAGGUACUAGAGUUGGUUGCAAGGCUAUGAUAAUGAUAAAAAAAAUUGAUCCUGGCAAAUGGGUAGUUACUAAAUUUGUGAAAACCCAUAAUCAUGGAUCAGUUCCACCAAGAAAACUUGAUAUUAGGUCAGCACAUCAGGACCUUAAUCCAGUUGAAAAGCCACAUUCUGCCGAGGAAGACCCUGUUGAGGAACCGGUUGAGGGAAUGGAAUUUGAUUCUGAAGAAACCGCAAAAUUGUUCUAUAUAAAUUAUGCGAGGCUUAAUGGUUUUCGUGCACGUAUUAGCAGGUAUUGCCGUUCAAGACGUGAUAAUUCAAUCAUUUCUCGCCAGAUUGUGUGCUCCAAGGAAGGCUUCCGUGAAGUUCGAGCCAAGAAAGAGAUUACAGACGAAGGGAAAACGAAGCGCCCAAGAAUGAUUACUAGAGUUGGUUGCAAAGCUAUGAUUGUGGUGAAAAAGAUGAACUCUGGAAAAUGGAUGGUAUCUAAAUUUGAGAAGGAGCAUAAUCAUUCGUUGUUAUCUUCUAAACAGGCCCCUAGUACAUCGAACAUUACUUCUGGAGAAAAUGCUGAAUUUGCUGCAAAGAGUUCAGAUCCUGAUGAAGCGAAGGUUGAGGAAUAUAGUGCAGGGAUUCAAUGUAAUUCUACAGAUUCACUCACUGUACUUUACAACCAAUUAUGUCAGGAAGCUAUAAAAUUUGCAAAAGAAGGAUCAGUCACAGAAGAAAUUUACCAUGUGGCGAUGUCUGCCUUGAAAGAGGCGGCAGAGAAGGUUGCUCAACUCAAAAGUUGUCAUCCAACAAUGCCGCACCGUGGAGUUUCUAGUAGUGAAAGUAAACAUAAGGUCGUACAGAUGAAAACAAUGAGUGCUUCGCAAUGUUCAGAUGUGGCCAAACAGAAAACAACACCUUCGCAGCUCACGAUGUUUCAAGAGUCUACCUCCAAACUAAUGUUCAUUCCUACCAACCUGUUAACUGAUUCAGGCUUAGCUAAUUCUGAUAACAAUCAUCCGUCAUUGUGUGCUUUCACCUCAAGUGGGAGACAAUGCAGGCAUGGAUCAGAAUGUUCUUAUUUGCAUGCUGAAAACAGAAAGGAGGACUGUCCUGAGAAAUAUCAGAAUAGCACUUCGAGUCGGGCAACACAGGGAAAUCAUUCAACCUAUCAUGGACAUUCUGAAGAAACUACAGUUGCUAUUCCUGCUAUACCUCUGACGCUAUACAUGCCUUUGUCGAGGAAUUCACCUGGAGCUUCUGCUGAUGGACAGUACAAAUUGUUGGCUGCACCUAUUGAAGCAGUUCCAAUUUCAUACCGCCCCGCAGAACCCAUCAGACAACCAAAAAGAAGUUUUUGUAAUUUAGGUCCAUUGCCAGGUGUUAUGUCUGAACUGACCAGGCGAGAAAAAGGUCCACACCCUCUUGUGCAUGCUACAGCUCUUGCUUGUGGUGCUCGUGUUGUUCCUGUUGAGGAGGCAGCUUCGCUGAUCAAGGCCAUCGAGUCCAAGAUCAGAUCUGGAGGAGCCAAAAUAGCAAGAUUACCUUCAAGCAGGCUGACACGUCUAGUUCCUGAGGCGGUCUCCAUGUCAUCGUCUAGUGAAGAUGGUGAGGACAAUGACCACAGUGAGCCACCGGCGGUGAAUGUCGCAGGCUACUGCCAUGAUGAUCAGAUAUCUGAGGAAAUGAAGUUGCAAGGUGAGGCAUCAGAGUUGGAAACUGAUUCUGAGAAUUGUUCUGGGCAUGAAAACCAUGAUACUGCUGAUUGCUGA